CUCAGUCUGUCUAAAGUCAGCAUACAAGACAACCUGCUGAGGUUUGAUGGGAAGGCACAAGAUCCAGUUUCAGGGCGCAGUUACCUGUUCAACUCUUCCAGUGGUGAACGGCGUUGGUUGUAGGGGACGUCCAGUCUAACCAUCAACGACCUGCACUGAUUUAUGUGCUGUUUACACCAUCUGUAGCUGAAGAGGAUUCAUAUGAUGUGGAUUCAUAUGAUGUGUGCGAUCAGGCAUUUUAGCAUAAUUGUGAUUUCAAUUACAGGUCGAUUUGAAGUUUGUAAGAGUGAUAUUGUAAAAGGUACUAUUUAAUACAUAAUCAUGCUGACAUGCUGUGUUGGAGGCCACUCCUUAAUUACUAUUCCUGUGCGUGUACUCAUGUAGUUCAGCAUCAACAGUAUACCUUAUAUAUACAAAAGUAUGUGGGACACCCCUUCAAAUGAGUGGAUUUGGCUAUUUCAGCCACACCCAUUGCUGAUUGGUGUAUAAAAUCUAGCACACAGCCAUACAAUGUCCAUGGACACAGA